AUUGAACGCUGGCGGCAGGCCUAACACAUGCAAGUCGAGCGAGUGGCGGACAGGGGAGUAAUGUCUGGGAAACUGCCCGAUGGAGGGGGAUAACUACUGGAAACGGUAGCUAAUACCGCAUACCAUCGGAGGUGCACAGAUGGGCUUAGCUAGUGGGUGGGGUAACGGCUCACCUAGGCGACGAUCCCUAGCUGGUCUGAGAGGAUGACCAGCCACACUGGAACUGAGACACGGGCCAGACUCCUACGGGAGGCAGCAGUGGGGAAUAUUGCACAAUGGGCGCAAGCCUGAUGCAGCCAUGCCGCGUGUAUGAAGAAGGCCUUCGGGUUGUAAAGUACUUUCAGCGGGGAGGCGUUACCCGCAGAAGAAGCACCGGCUAACUCCGUGCCAGCAGCCGCGGUAAUAC
rnacentral:rRNA from 1 species